ACUCACACGCAACUUCCACCAACCGCCAGAUCUAGGCGCUAGCGCCGCCGCCCGCACCUCCCCAUUUGCUUUGGCGACCCGACGGUGCUUCCCAGGCCUAUCCCCGUGCACCGCCGCCGCUUCCUCCACCUUCUCUCAUCGUCGCCGCCCCUCGAGCGCGCCAUUCCUCUAACAAACAGCACCCGGGCGCCCACUGCUGCUCGGCGCCCACAAGGUGUUUGACAAAAUGUUUGCAAGAUGAGUUCGUCAUAUGAUUCUUCCGACGAAGAAUUUGAUAUUCAAGAGGAGGAGGACCUUGCAAUGGUCCUAGCUAUGCAUGUCAAUAAAAAGCCGAAGCAUGGUGGUUCAGUUAUGGGUUGUUAGUAAACUUGGAGGGAUAUGAUCGAUGCCGACAACAGAUUGAUGAGGUACUAUUUUCUGGAGAAUCCCACGUACUCCGAGUCGUACUUUCGCGUUGUUUUAGGAUGAGCAUCGAGAAUGAGCGUGGGCAAGAUUUAGACUAUUCUUAGUAUGAGCUCUUGGGACGUCCUGUGAGAGUGCGGCGGAGGGCUGCGAGGGUGGCCCGAUUUGUUGUCUCCUAUCAUGCCAUUCGACGUGCCGAAACGCAUGAUGAUCUUCAAAAUGAUCUAAUCGAGGAGUGGCGGGCAUGGAAUGGCCAACAAAACUAGUGAUGUUGUAUGUUUGAUGUGGUAUUGUUGAACUCUUUGUUGUAUUGGAAGAUAAACUAUUUGUUUGAGUUGUAAUAAAUUGAACUAUUUAUUGUUGAUUUGUUUUUU